UCCAAAGUGUUUCAGCUUCUCUCCACCGACAGAGCAAACAAAACAAAGGGAGCUAAAAAAAUUGUUUCCGUGUUUAUGAUCGAUUAUCAGAAUUUCUUAAGUCAACCACUUCAACUUCAUCAAGAACCUAACUAUAAUUUGUUCAGAGUCAAAGAUCUGUAUUAAAUUCGCCGGUAUAUACAUAGGGAGUUUUUGUCUUCAUUAUGCAAUGCAUCGAUGUUAUUGGAGGAGGAUACAAUUUCUCAUCGAUUGUACCUCAUAAAACAGGGAUCACUAAUGUUACAAAAAAGAUUUAAGGACUGUCUCCUGACCUCCAUGGAUUUCAUAUUCACUAUUUUGGUGGUAUUUUAAGUGGCUGCAACUCUACUUGUUCGUCUUUAAACUCUCUGUGUUUAUCACUGCUUACCUAUAUAUGAAGAAUUCACUUGUCGGUUGUGCUUAA